GACGAACGCUGGCGGCGUGCUUAACACAUGCAAGUCGAACGGAAAGGCCUGCUUUCCCUUGUGGAUUGCGGGUACUCGAGUGGCGAACGGGUGAGUAACACGUGAGUGAUCUGCCCCCAACUUGGGUAUAAGCCUGGGAAACUGGGUCUAAUUCCCGAUAGGACUGCAGGGUGGUGCCUGUGGUGGAAAACGAUUUUCUAGUGGUUGGGGAUGAGCUCGCGGCCUAUCAGCUUGUUGGUGGGGUAAUGGCCUACCAAGGCGGCGACGGGUAGCCGGCCUGGGAGGGUGGACGGCCACAUUGGACUGAGAUACGGCCCAGACUCCUACGGGAGGCAGCAGUGGGGAAUAUUGCACAAUGGGCGGAAGCCUGAUGCAGCGACGCCGCGUGGGGGAUGACGGCCUUCGGGUUGUAAACUCCUUUCGACCGCGAGGAAGCCACCUGGUUGGAAGGGUGGUGACGGUAGUGGUAGAAGAAGCACCGGCUAACUACGU
rnacentral:rRNA from 1 species